AGCUUAACAGCUAGCUCAUAACCAAGACUAACCAAAAAACAUCCUUAACCUAAAAAACA
rnacentral:rRNA from 1 species